rnacentral:rRNA from 1 species
GUAGGGGGCAAGCGUUAUCCGGAUUUACUGGGUGUAAAGGGAGCGUAGACGGUUAUGUAAGUCUGGAGUGAAAGCCCGGGGCCCAACCCCGGGACUGCUUUGGAAACUGUGUAACUGGAGUACAGGAGGGGCAGGCGGAAUUCCUGGUGUAGCGGUGAAAUGCGUAGAUAUCAGGAGGAACACCGGCGGCGAAGGCGGCCUGCUGGACUGAAACUGACGUUGAGGCUCGAAAGCGUGGGGAGCAAAC